rnacentral:rRNA from 1 species
CUUCGGAUUGACGGGUGAGCGGCGGAGGGGUUAUUAACGCAUGGGAACGUACCCCGAUCUGCGGAAUAACCACUGGAAACGGUGAGUAUUACCGCAUACACCCUUCGGGGGAAAAAUUUAUCGGAUUUGAAUCGACCCGCGUUGGAUUAAAUAGUUGGUGGGGUAAUGACCUACCAAUUCUACGAUCUAUAGAUGGUUUUAGAGGAUGAUCAGCAACACUGGGAAUGACACACGGCCCAAACUCCUACGGGAGGCGGCAGUGGGGAAUCUUGGACAAUGGGCGCAGGCCUGAUCCAGCCAUGCCGCGUGAGUGAUGAAGGCCCUAUGGUCGUAAAGCUCUUUCACCAGGGAUGAUAAUGACAGUACCUGGAAAAGAAACCCCGGCUAACUCCGUGCCAGCAGCCGCGGUAAUACGGAGGGGGUUAGCGUUGUUCGGAAUUACUGGGCGUAAAGCGCGCGUAGGGGGACUAUUAACUCAGGGGUGAAAUCCCGGGGCUCAUCCCCGGAACUGCCCUUGAUACUGGAAAUCUUGAGGUCAAUAGAAGUGAGUGGAAUUCCUAGUGUAAAGGUGAAAUUCAUACAUAUUCGGAGGAACACCAGUGGCGAAGGCGGCUCACUGGAUCUAUACUGACGCUGAGGUGCGAAAGUGUGGGGAGCACAGAGGAUUAGAUACCCUGGUAAUCCACGCCGUACACGAUGAAUGCCAGUCUUCGGGUACCAUGC